GGGUCAGUAGGUUGGUCGUGCCACCGGUACGUACUGGUCUCACUGAUUCCUCCUUCCUGAAGAACCGUAAUGCCAUUAAUUUGGUGUUGCGGGGAAACAGGACUGUUACUUUGAAAAAAUUAGAGUGUUUAACGCAAGCUAACGCUUGAAUGCAUUAGCAUGGAAUAAUGAAAUAGGACGAUCGAUCCUAUUUUGUUGGUUUCUAGGAUUGACGUA
rnacentral:rRNA from 1 species